CUUUGUCCCUGGAUAACUUGUUCUUUGAGAGGCCAGUUGUCCACAAAGUAAAGCCACUUUGUCAAGAGCAGAGUUCUUGGCAGUUGGAACCCCCUCCAUCCCUCUCCCAGAUUCCAGCCACUCAGGACAUCCAAAAAGAGGCAGAGGAUCUUUCAUCAUUCAAUUUCUCUCAGAGGUCCAAGAAAUUCAUUCCCCCUUUGAAAAGAACAGUCGGCAGUGAUGGUUUCAUACAAAAGAACACAGAUUUUAAUCAAAUUACCAGUGAUGGAGGAAAAGAACCUGAGGGCCAGGGCGGGUGUGCUCUCUGGUCUCAGGAAGACUUCAUGAACAAGUCCCAGUGUUCCACAAUGGUCAGCAGAGGUCGAACUGAAACCCCACAGGAGUCUGGUCAUGCGCUAGAGCAGAAACAUUUUCCUCUGGACUUCAGCCAAAGCCCACCUGUACGGAGAAGUUUGUUCAAACCUCUCAUUGGUCAGGUGUUGAACAGUGGCGCAGACUUGAACACCCGCCACAGCCAGACAAGACCCAGAGAGCAGCAAACCUUCAACCAGGUUUCCAUGGCGACAGAGCCUCGACUGGCAAGACAGUCAGCAGCAGGCCCCAGCCCCCUCAGCGGGCUGGGUCCGGCUGCAGCACGGGGACCCCCACCGCAUACACCGGACAAGGCAACCAAGAGGGCGAAGUCCUGCCCCA
rnacentral:lncRNA from 1 species